GUCCGAGCCGUAAACGAUGGACACUAGGUGUCAUGGGUAUCGACCCCCGUGGUGCCGUAGCUAACGCGUUAAGUGUCCCGCCUGGGGAGUACGGUCGCAAGACUGAAACUCAAAGGAAUUGACGGGGGCCCGCACAAGCGGUGGAGCAUGUGGUUUAAUUCGAUGCAACGCGAAGAACCUUACCAAGGCUUGACAUGUCGAGAACUCUGGUGAAAGCCGGAGGUGCCGCAAGGAGCUCGAACACAGGUGGUGCAUGGCUGUCGU
rnacentral:rRNA from 1 species